rnacentral:misc_RNA from 1 species
UUUCCGUAGGUGAACCUGCGGAAGGAUCAUUACAGAGUUCAUGCCCUCACGGGUAGAUCUCCCACCCUUGAAUAUUUAUACCUUAGUGGCUUUGGCAGGCCGUGGAAACACCAUGGGCUCCGGCUUAUGCGUGCCUGCCAGAGGAAACAAACUCUGUUUUUAGUGAUGUCUGAGUACUAUAUAAUAGUUAAAACUUUCAACAACGGAUCUCUUGGUUCUG